UAUCCCACCUGUUGGUGUAAACUGUGGGCAAACAUAGACUCACUGGAACUGUUGAGGGCACCGUGGAUGCUGUACACCCUCCGGCGGGGGAUGCUGCAGUGGGUAGGAACCAAAUGGUGAAGCAUCUCUCGUGUGGCCUUUAGUCCGGGGGCAGAAAACCAAUUCCAUGACACCCUGAUUCCUCCGUCAGCGAUAUGGAAUUAAAGACGCGGUUUAAAUCAGUGAAGCGGCUGAAUCUGUUGUCAUCGACGCCGGUGACAGAAGAGGCUGCUUACUGGUAAGGGGAGUCUAUUGAACAGUAUCGACCCACAGGAUAGUUGAUCUGCCAGCCGUUACAGAGCUCGUGUUUUUCACCAGGGUUGUUGUCGCCGUGCCUGGACUCCACGCUAACCCUACCCACUGAUAGAGACACCGUCCUUGCCUGCAGCAGUGUGGUACUGAGACUACACAUCGUCAAGUGAUGCUGCACCGUAUGUGUUUCGGUGUGGGCGAUUCUGCCCUAACCUCACCGCGCCAGUGUUUCACAAAUCGACAGUUUAAAGUGAGGAAUAGUACCAGAUGCCGUCCCAGCUAAACCAAUUAAAAAUAAAUCAAAUAGAGUGAGUGAGUGAGUAUGGUUCUACGCCUCUUUCAACAAUAUUCCUCUCAUGUCAAGAUGGGUGACGUCACACGCCGCACGACGUGGGGUAUCAAACCACGUCUUCGAUGAGACGAGCGACCCCUCCAACCAUCGAACGAAGUGAGUAAGUGAGU